rnacentral:misc_RNA from 1 species
AACCAUAGAAACCUGCGGAGUACCUGCGGAAGGAUCAUUACCGAGUUUACAACUCCCAAACCCCUGUGAACAUACCAAUUGUUGCCUCGGCGGAUCAGCCCGCUCCCGGUAAAACGGGACGGCCCGCCAGAGGACCCCUAAACUCUGUUUCUAUAUGUAACUUCUGAGUAAAACCAUAAAUAAAUCAAAACUUUCAACAAUGGAUCU